CAUCUCAUGUGACUGUGCUGAUCCUUUUCUUGGUCCUACUGGGCCUAAUUGUUUUGCUGAUUUUCUUGUACAAAAUGUUAAACAGGGAGGCUGAAGGACAAUAUACCAUUCGGCGCAUGGUCUAUAAGGAAGGAGGGGAUGAACAGGAGGAGGAUGGCAUGGUGAAUUGUGGUCAGACAAAGAGAGAAGGAGGUGACUCUUCAAGUAAUAACUCAAGUUUGGAGGUUUUGGAGGCAGAGGAGCAAGCCAGGCUGCUGGAUGUGCCGGAGGCGAAAGAAGAGGUGAAGAAGAAAGGGGAGGAAAAGCAAGAGAAAGUGGGAGAAGAGCAAAAUAAACAGGAAACAAGUGGAGGGGCUGGAUUGUUGAUAGACCUAAAGAAUUUCUCUGGAAGUGCCAUUUGGUCUGGAGAAGAGGGAGGUGAGGGUAAGGGUGGUGAUGUGACUGCACUGUGACGACAGAAUCAGGGAACAUGUAUAGUGGAGACACUGGAAAUAGUCUCUUUUUGGCCACACUUGUAACCAGGAUUUUAGAAAUGCUGAUGUCAAAAUUUUAAGUUCUCCUAAAUGGCUGUUCA
ensembl:lncRNA